ACAAAUCAAAACAAUUAUUAAACAAUAAUGCAAUAAUUGAUUUCAUAUUAUUCAACCAACAUCAGUAAAAAAAAACACCAAAAUUAGACCCAGCAGAUUUAGAACAAGAAACCCCAAGAAUUAAACCCCCCCAAACCACAAUUUUUUAACAAAACCCAGAUAAAUAAACCACCCAUAACCCGCAAAUAUCGCACUUGCAAAUCACCCCCACCCCCAUCAGCAUCUUCAGAUUUGCGUGUGCGCGCGCACGAGAGAGAGAGAGGACUUGAUCGCAGAGAAGGCGAAGAGAGAGGCAGAAGAGAGUGUGCUCGGUCCGGGGAGCUUUAAUCGUGGAGAGAGAGAGAGCGAGAGAAUCAGAUUUUGAUAUAAAACCUAGUCUUCCAC
rnacentral:lncRNA from 1 species